AGUGGCGGACGGGUGAGUAACGCGUGAGAAUCUGCCUUGGGGUCGGGGACAACCACUGGAAACGGUGGCUAAUACCGGAUAAGCCGAUUGGUGAAAGAUUUAUUGCCCGAAGAGGAGCUCGCGUCUGAUUAGCUAGUUGGUGAGGUAAGAGCUCACCAAGGCAGCGAUCAGUAGCUGGUCUGAGAGGACGAUCAGCCACACUGGGACUGAGACACGGCCCAGACUCCUACGGGAGGCAGCAGUGGGGAAUUUUCCGCAAUGGGCGAAAGCCUGACGGAGCAAGACCGCGUGAGGGAGGAAGGCUCUUGGGUUGUAAACCUCUUUUCUCAGGGAAGAAGCUCUGACGGUACCUGAGGAAUCAGCCUCGGCUAACUCCGUGCCAGCAGCCGCGGUAAUACGGAGGAGGCAAGCGUUAUCCGGAAUUAUUGGGCGUAAAGCGUCCGCAGGUGGCGAUUCAAGUCUGCUGUCAAAGCACGGGGCUUAACUCCGUAAAGGCAGUGGAAACUGAAUAGCUAGAGUGCCGUAGGGGUAGAGGGAAUUCCCGGUGUAGCGGUGAAAUGCGUGGAGAUCGGGAAGAACAUCGGUGGCGAAAGCGCUCUACUGGACGGCAACUGACACUCAGGGACGAAAGCUAGGGGAGCGAAUGGGAUUAGAUACCCC
rnacentral:rRNA from 1 species